rnacentral:tRNA from 1 species
UGAGUCUUGGGCUGUCAAAUUCCUGCAUGGCAUGCAGGGGGUCAGCGGUUCGAAUCCGCUUGGCUCCA